GUCGAGAAUAAUUCACAAUGGGGGAAACCCUGAUGGUGCAACGCCGCGUGGAGGAUGAAGGUCUUCGGAUUGUAAACUCCUGUCAUCUGGGAGUAAGACCUGACGGUGAAUAGCCGGCAGGGUUGAUAGUACCAGAAGAGGAAGGGACGGCUAACUUCGUGCCAGCAGCCGCGGUAAUACGAAGGUCCCAAGCGUUGUUCGGAAUCACUGGGCGUAAAGGGAGCGUAGGCGGCGUGGUAAGUCAGAUGUGAAAUCCCGGGGCUCAACCCCGGAACUGCAUCCGGUACUGCCAUGCUUGAGGGUUGGAGAGGUAGCUGGAAUUCUCGGUGUAGCAGUGAAAUGCGUGGAUAUCGAGAGGAACACUCGUGGCGAAGGCGAGUUACUGGACAGCAUCUGACGCUGAGGCACGAAGGCCAGGGGAGCGAAAGGGAUUAGAUACCCGGGUAGUCC
rnacentral:rRNA from 1 species